AUUUUGGAAGUGAACGCGCGUUGGCAAUCCAAUGACUCGGGGAUAAUUCAACGAUUCAUAAACUGGAAGAUUCGACGAGGAUUCCUGCUCUGGGUUGAACAAAGGGACAAUGCUGGAUCAUCCAGACGCUCAUUGCUACAGUCACCACAGAGCUGCUGGUACAGAUUCACAGAGAUGCAAGUAUGAGACUGGAGUCUGGGCGAUGGGGGGGAGCGGGGGAGGCCGUCUCCCAGGGCAGGGCCGCAUUCCAAUUCCGAUAGUAGGACCCGAAGUUCCUUCUGGGUCAGGAGUCGUCCUCCAAUCCACAUGGACUGGGUCUAUGUAGGCAUCGGAUGCCAAUACCAGGCUGAAGUUGCUCUAUGAUUUAUCAAUAUCGAAGCAGAUACGUUCAGGAUGGACCACGGUCCUCCACUCCGUACUCCGGGGAUUCCUGGGCUACUGGCGAGACGCCGUGGCGUCCGGUCGAACCGACGAGGGGAUUCGGCGAGUAGCAGCGUGGCAACAUCAAAGAGUGAUAUUGUAAGAGGAAGGAGAGGGGCAAAUACCAAAGAGGUUGGCCAGCCUGGAAGCCCGAGUGCAGGGACUGGUACUCUGGACUCGUACCUGCAUUCCAUUCCCACUGCUCGUGUAGCUCCUUCUAUAGGUGACCAUCCUCUCUCGAGCCAUGCGGCUUCGCUUACUUACCUCAGUUGCCAACUUGGCCAACUACUACUGAUGCUGAUGAUGCUGGUGCCGCCGCUAUCACUGCUACCAGUCGCUACGAAUACACCACUGCUGAGGAUCUCGACUUCGGGUUCCUCUUACUUGGACGUGUCUCCUGAUACGCUGGAAUUCCUUUGGAGUUCUGGAAAAGGCCCACGUUUCUACAUCGCGCCACGUGCGUAUCGCUGUGUGCGAGAUUCUCUGGAGGGGCCUGUCACGCGUACAAAUAGCUGACCUCGCUGCGUCGCCUCUAUCAAUGGCUCGGCAGCAGUCUGAAUGGCUCUUACGCGUCUCUUCCCUUACUACGCCAUACGAGCGAUAGCGUCGGGCUUCACGGACAUCACGGACAUCUCUUGCGAGCUUCUCAUUCCGAGCGUGAGAUUUUAUCGACAUGGCUUGAGAAUGAGAAUUUUCGUGAUACCACUUCUUGGAGGAUCACUGGUGGGACGUGACGAGUGGCUCGACUUUACGCUCUUGAGAUGCACUUGACUUUUGAGCCUGUCAGUUGCAGCCAAUGGAAUUUAAUUUGUCACACGGCCUCUCCAUUCCCGUUCGUUUAAUCGAACGAGCAUGUUGUACUUAAGCAUCGAGUCUCUUGUCGUUUAGGCUGAUUUACUGGUUUUGGAUUCUGUGAAGCUUGUAUUUACAUAUUUCGCAGCGAUGCGGUGUAUUUGAUUUAUACUUAACUAUUGACAGGAUUUUUACCUUUAUGGCAUUUUUAAUGGCAAUCAAUUUCGUUAAUAAGUCGCCACUGUUUCUGUGACAUAAUUGUGAUAAUGUAGAUUCUCUAAACGGGUUAAAACUGCCUGUCGGUAAUGCAGAAAAUUUAUUUCUACGAUUGAUAAUGUGUGCUCUAUCUUACCGACGGCUGGUCGUUUCACUGCGAGAGUAUGCUUUCUCGACGGAACAAAUUUAUUUCAUUCGUAGUCGGUAUUCUAUCAUAAAAUCUUUAAAACUAUCCGAUCGGUAAGUCUUCCGUUGAUUCGUUCUUCUUGAUUAAUCGAGUCUAGUUCAUAUACAACUUAUUCUCAUUCGAGAUUCACAUCCGCGGGCUUAUACCUCAUUUUUUCAUUUUAUUUUUACAUUAGCCUUUUACGAUUCGGUACGAUGGAAACUGCGAGAGCACGUAUCUUAUCUCCGAUAGUAUUUUUACCCGCGAUCGUGACUCCUGCGAUCUUCGUAACGACAUUCUAUUAAUCCUCUCAUUAAGUUUUACGAGGGGUGCGAACACUGUCGUGGCAAUUACUGGUUAAUUAGAUAAAAUAGCGCGUAUUUCUGGGAAUGAUAUGUAAUCGCAAGGAAGGCGGCAUCCCAUAACGACGAGCCGUAUCUCGGCAUUGAGACAGUGACUGUCAUUCAGCGUCAACGUAGGCGAACGCACAGGAAUACGUCCACGGUAUCCACGAUCGUAGGACGUUUCUUUGUGAGACUUUAUGGAAGGAAAUGGUCGUUUCCAGCGAAUCUCCAUGGGGUCAGAAGUCACACCAUAUCUUUAUCUGGAGUCCUACGUAACGCAGCCAAGUCGUUAUCACCUCUCUCGGCCGAUAACGCACGUGCAAAAUAAUAUAAUGACGAUCAAACUACGGCAUAAAAAUUUCAAAAAAUAUCUUCUUUUUUUUCCAAUCUUAAAAAUCCAAUUUGCAAUCGUGACAAUUUUACCUGUACAUAUUUUUGGAAUUUUCAUUCUCAAUUAUUACCAUCAUCCACAGGCAUAGAAUAUGAAACAAAACAACACAGUCCUGACUGACUGACAAUGAAUGACUGAAGCUUCUCGCUCAGUGACGCAACGUGAUUCGAGAAGGGAAAAAAAAGAGAUAAUCGGAAGCUGAAAGAAAAAAUGGAAAUCCGAGAGGCAGCCGAGGCAGCAGCGUUAGGCAAAAGGGGGAUACGUUAGUUCUAGCUCUUGGAUCCUCUUGAGCCCUUCGACGUAGACUCCAGGCUCCCCGUACUCUGGACCAUGGGCUGUAGCAAGAAGGAGCCGAAUAAAAGGAAGUAAAAAUAAGUAAAGGGAGGAACGAAGAGAGAGUAACAGAUAGCAAGCACUCUCGUACCGUCAUGGACCUUACAUGAUUAGAGAUUCAGCGUUUCCCUUUGUACCGAGCCGCCUACACGUGUUGUCGGGUUUAUUGUUUAGAUAACCGAACCUCUUAUUCCCUAAUACCGAUCCUCCUCAUCACUGGACUCCCUUGACUUCCUAGAUGAACUUCACACGAGCUACCGACUCUUCGCUUCGAAUUUUAAUUUAUCUCUCAGACUUAUCUCGAGCUCCCGUUUUCUAGUCGGCCAUAAUCGAUUUUAUAUCUGUCAAACGACCGAGACUCUUUGUCAAAGAUUCACUUGUAUUUUAAUUUUCGGCAAAUAUUUAACCAUUCGGUUAUUAGUUGACUUUGUUACACGUGAACUGGAUAUACUUUUUGUUAGGUUAGGAUAUGUAAUUCCUGUAAAUUUUACUGAUACCGACCCGACGCUUUCACGGUUUACUGGAAAUACUUUAUGGGUUAUUUCUUUUCUUUCUUUUUUUUUUUUCUUUCUUUUUCAUGAUCUGUCAACCUACGGCUAGACUACUCAAGUUUCGGCGCUGUGUAUACUAUAUGCUGUGGCGCUCUCUGUCGGACAAUUCGUGAAACACUGGAAAAGGGGAGCAACCAGGGCACCAAGAAAACGUUGGUCCUUGACGAAACACUUUCGAAAUAGUUCCAAUAAUAUUUACACUUGGACCAAUGGCGGCUCAGUCCUGCUCUUACGGCACGGCCGCAUCAGAUUAUUCCGUAACUGGAUAUACACUCACGAUUUCAAGUGCACACGCUUGCCUUACCAACACGACAGUAGAAUGCUGUUGGGAUGUAUAUGCUUAUACCUAAGUAACGUACUCGACUUGGCAGCAUAGACGAAACUGGUUUUCACAAUGAUUUGACAGAUGGAUAUGAUUCUGAGAUCAUUGUGAAAGCUGAUUUUGUUCAGAGAUCAUCUCGUGGAUUGACUUUGUCAUUGUUUGGAGAAAAAGAAGUAAAGGAGGGAUCGGUCAUCUGCCGGCAAGUGUCGUAAAUCUUUCGUAUUUACAAGAGGAGUUUAAUUCACUUGGUAUCAAUCAUGGGGAUUGUACUAAUUGUCAUGGUUCAGAAGCUACGGAAAUCAAUCUUUCCUUUUCAUGGGCUCAAACAGGAUUACACACACCAAUUAAGCAUCCAGAGAAGCAGCCAUGCUUUUUUCUACGUAUUUCCGGUAGCCAUUUAUCAAACCACUAAGAUCACAUAGCCAAGGAGUUCAGCAGCAGCAAGAAAUGACUUCUGAAGUAGGAAAAGGUAUGAGUCAAAGAAUAAAAUUAAAAAAAAUGGUCACGAUAGAGCAUAAGAAAAAUGAAAAUAUUGACCUUUCCUCAAUGGCAAUCCUGCUGCCACCGAUGUACCAACUGUAUGAAAAUUAUUAGCCAGUGUUAUCACAGACAGUUCUUCAGCAGAAAAAGACUUGUACGCUAUCCUGCACCAAGAGCGUAAUAUUAACCACCAGGAAAGCACACUAUCAAAUGUCAAACGAAGCCGAAGUGAAGAAAAAGCCAAAAGGCUUCUUCUUGAGGGAACCCAGCCGGGGAAAUUCUAGAUGAAGAACCCUGGGUCGUUUGUAGGUUUUACGCUUCGCGCAACAAGUGAUACCGGUACUUGGCGCUUAUCGCUCUUGUCAAAUUUGACAGGUCCUGGAAGUCCUCCUAACAAACCAGCUGGACCAAGGUAUUCAUUUUUAGGUAACUCAGGAAAUAGGAAUAACUUGCUAGAAUUUUUUUUUCUAAUUUAAAGAAAUUUAGUAUUACAAUGGAGUGUGUCUGUAUCGGUGGUGGUUGAUGAGAAAAUGAGGGAAUGAGUAUGGGAGGGGAUGGAGGGGGAGGUCGUAAAAAUCUCAUGGCAAAUUGGGACCUUACGCUAGUGAUAUAUCGUCGCUCUCGAAUGACCAGGAGCAAAAUAGUUUCGUGGAGACGACAAAACUUCAAUAACCUGCGGUUUAAGGUUUGACUCGGACUGGGUUAAUUUAUAGCGUCUAACCCGAAACACGGUGUAUUUUGACAAGUAAACUGGGUCAAUUUAUAGGGGCUGGGGGUGAGAUAGAUUUUGAGUGAAAUUUUAAGAAAGACCGUUAUAUAAAUAUUUUGAGCUAUUACACGAAACAAGGCUUAUGGCUUUUCUUGUUUCUUUUCGAAAAAUUAUUAUUUUUGCCCCGGUCCACGUAACGGCGAUUAAUCUUAUUGCUCGUUAAAAUAUUGUGUAUUUCAAUCGUCAACUUAAUUCACAUUAUUAUGCACCAAGAUGAAUUGUCCACUCGAAAAUGAUUUCAGGCAGCUCGGUCCUUCGGAUUAUCUGCACUCAAAAACCCAUAAAAAUACUGGUCCAUCAUCUCGUUAAUGGGCAGCUGGAAAGGAUUCAAGACGUCGAUUCAAUCAGCUUCGAAUGGACCAUACAUAAUUUUUUUAAGUAGGACUAUAAGCUUCCUGUAACAAGUGUAAAUAAAUAAUUGUAUCAAAAUUAAUUUUAGUCGCCAAUUAAAAAGUGGCAAAAAACAUACAAGCGAAGGACAGUCAUGGUAUGCCCGCAGAAAAAAGAGAGAAAGAGAUAGACAAAUAUAUAAAAAAAAGGACUAAAGUGGAAACUGUACAGUUUUACGAGUUCCUACUCCACGUAGAGAAUUUUAAGCGGCCUCGUAAAAAAAAUCUUUUCGUGGGCUUUUCUCGAAAACUCGUAAAUCCUUUCCUAAGUCGCGAGAGGCACUUGGGCCUUAAACGGAGCCAAAACCAGCAAGAGACGUUAAAGCACGAGCCACCUAAGAUUUCGUCAUAAAGUAUAAGUGUGUAUUUAGAAAAAAAAAAUGGUACAGAAAAUGAGGGAAAAAAAUGUAAAAUUUGUAUUAAAUUAAUUGAAUGAAAAUCUGGCGUUUGACAUUCGUUGCCUGUUUCACAGAGCGUAUCUUAAGUGCGUUGCUUUACACUGUAUGGAAUGCUAUACCGUAUAUAGUGCAGUUGCUCUCUUGGCACGGAUGUGCGCACCAUCGCACUUGCGAUUCGCUUAAGUUGCCAGCCGAGGUCCAGCCGCUUCUUAUUCUCAGUCCUGGCGACUGGUCGAGCUUAUCGCGCGCGAAUCGCCGCUGCUGACCGGCGGCCACAUGUGCUUGGCAAAAAGUAGCCGCUUAAGGUCCCGUAUAGCUUUAAAGAGCACGUAUGUAGAUAUGGAGGGGCUCAGGCAGGAGGUGAAGCACAGUGGUACCAAGGGAGUCGAAGAAGAUCUGAAAAUAUUAGCAUCUAUGCGUAGCUGCCUUAAAGCACCACAAGCAGCAUCCAAUAAUGAACUUAGAUACAAACAAGGAGAACCCCAUCUCGUUUGUAAAUUGAUAAAAAUUUUUAUAUUAAUAUUGAUUAAGAUUAUCGACAAUUAGAAAUAAACUAUUGAACUCUGUUUAUCUUUUGUAAAACGUAUCAACGAUACUCGCUUUAGUAAUACAAUUCAAUAUUAUCAUUAUAAUUCGUUACAUGUGGUAAUGCAAUUUGGGCUAUGACCUCUUGACCCAUGACCCUUAAUCACUUAGCCUUGUGACCUUACUUUGUUCUAUGAACGGCAUUACGCGUUAGGAGGUCCUAGAGAGACUCGAUGCGGAUUGCGACUUUGGAUGAAAAACUGUAUUUUUAUCACAAACAUAUGCAAAUGGUCAGAUAUGAAUUAGCUUAUAAAAUUGAUAUAGAUAAUUAUAGAUAAAUCGUAGAGUUUAUAUGAAAACAAUUGUACAUUACCAAGCAGAGGUGAUCUCGCGGUUCGUUAUUGCGACAAUAGGCUAUCGAUAUUAAAGUACAGUAAGAGUGACUAACGAGCGAGGAGUUCAAUAGCUGUAAUUAGUCUUAGUCAAGUAUAAAUUUAUUGUCUUGCCUUAUCAAGGCGUUUCUUUAUGCAACCGUUGAUUAUAAUAUUGCGGCAAAAGCGUCCUCAGAUUCCCUGUACGAUCCAACGCGUAAAUUCCCUAGACACGCAAAGCCAUUUACAAGGUUUAUAGUCACUAGGAUUUUUUAAGUAAAAUACAAAUAUCGUUAGGCAAAAUAAAAAUUGUGAUAUCAACCAUAA